GCAGAACCCCACGGUAGAUCAUUCAAAACUGAUUUGACUAUGAAGGUAAUUUUAAUCUGUUUUAGUGUUUUAACUUUGGCAUGUUUUAAAGUAUGGCUGUAAUUUUUCUUGAUUUUCUUGUUUCAUCUCUUUGUAAACUGCUUUCAAUGUGCUUUUUUAUUAUUACAAUCAAGUGGUGCAUAAAUUUUAUUAAUUAAGUAAAUAAAAACAAAUGCAUCACCUUCUCCCACUGCUGGUAGCCAGCAGUAAGCUCCCAGCUAGGACAGCAUGGAGUGGAUCCAAAGUCCCAGCAACUCUGCUAAUAAAGAAGGGUAGUAAAGAAAUUUAGUGGAAGACAGGAGUGCCUGGCGUGCUCUGGUCCAUGGGGUCACGAAGAGUCGGACACGACUAAACGACUAAACAACAACAAAAGAAAUUUAAUAAAUAAUAGUAAUACAAUCCUGUAAGUUAACCCCAUCAGGUAUAGUUCAGAGGUUGUAACACAGGUGCCCACAGAUGCCUUUCUUGGCACCCAAAGAAUCUUCUCCUCCCCACCAUCUACCCACUGAAAUUAGGGUCAAAAGAAGCACGCUACUGUAGCAAGAAGACUAGGUUGCAAUAUGGGCUUGGUUGUUGUUGGUGUGUGUGUGUGUGUGUGUGUGUGUGUGUGUGUGCAUGAACUCAAGGGCCCAACAAGAUUUUCAAUCCCUGAUCUAGGGGAACAGUGAACAAGUUUUUACCCUCUUCUCUGUGGCAAGUAUCUGCUGUCUUCUAUUGUGUUCUUCAAAACCUAUAAGUGAAAAUCUUUUUUCAGUCAACUCUGUGCUACUUUUCCUCCUUCCACAGGGCAUUCAGAUGCCCUACUUGAAACUUGCAAAAUGAGCCUGUUUCUAUAAAGUCUGCUCAGAACAGGCUUCAGAAGCCUUGCAGCACUAAAUGCAGGAAAUCCCAAGGAUAUCGUCACAUGACUUUUCUGAACAAAAUACAAAAGUGACGUGGCCUUGUCUUAAGAAGAAAGGAACAGGAACGGUACUAUUCUGUUCAGGGCCUGGGGUGGGGGAGAUGACAGAAUCAGAUUGAAACCAGAGUAGCUAUUGGAAUUGAAGCCAACACAAUUAAGAACAAUUAGGAGAGAAAAGUGGAUUUAAAAGAAAAUGAUCACAUGGAUAUAAUUUGACAAUACCAUUCAACUAGUAAACAAGGGAAUAGCUUAAUGAAAAGAGGAAAUUGCAAGAGUGGUGAAUUUUAAAAUGUGAAAGGGCCAUACAAGACAUGAACACAAUUUAAUAGCAUUUUUAAAAAAUGCAAAUAGCAGAUGAAGGGAGAUCCAGAGAACAACCUGGGGACAACCAGGGCAGCAGAAGUGGGAAGGGGGAGGUGGCAAAGUUGAGUGGCAAAGCUUAAAUCUUUCUCUCUUUGCCAUGAUUCCAACAGAAAAAGCUUUUCCUACUAUUUGCAUCAAAACCCUAAUUAAACAUAAGGUCAAGGGCAGGGGCGAAAGGAGACACAUGCCUCCUUCUCGCCCUCAGCAUGUUUAAUCAGGGUUUAACCUAAUUAAACAUGUGGCUGGUGGGGAGAAAAGGAGAUGCACAUACCAAUGCGUCUCCUUCUCCCCCACUCCUGACCACCAGGCCACCAACCUUCGUGACCUCUCCUGAUCGCUCUGGGUUGACCCAAUCCAACCUGGGGAUAACUGGGGUUGCCUCUGUCUGAUCUGGCUGAAUUAGAUCCAGCCAGAUUGACCUGAAUUGGCCUGAUUCGCUUUGGGAUCCAGGAUUCAGCUUGAUCUGAUGCACAGCCCUAGUAUAUAAGGGACACACAAUGGUAUAGUAUACAGCAAUAUGUGUUAGUUCACUUAUUUCAGCAUUUAGUAAUUUACCUUUGCUGCUUUGCGCGCGCACACACACACACACUAAUUCUGCUGAAUUUGUGCUCCAGUGUCCUGUCCUGAUCACACAACUAGAACCAAAAAGACAAUCAGACUUGACGUAGGGAUUUGCCAAACAAUCUGUCUGACUUUAUGAAGCACGAUAUAAUUGCAGUCAUUGUCCAUUUCCCCAUAUUUUUGGCUGUUCUGUCACUAAUUAAGGUCUGAUUUAGGUUAAUUUUGCUGCAUGCUUUGACUCCCUGGGUCUUUCUAUCCUGUCACCUCUGUUCAUUCUAUCAAGCAAUAGGUGUUUCUAAGGGUAGGUAGAUUUCAGGCUUAAUUUGUUGGUAAUAUACAGUUCUUCUUUUUCUAAAAACAUGUUUAGGGGUGCUCUCAUUUUCCUACUCAUAUUGAAAUACUGCCCCUCAAUGAGGCCAAACUUAGAUUCACAAAAUGUUUAGGGGUAUGCGUACCCCCAGGAAAAAAAGCACUGGUAAUAAAUCACAGCAUCCAUUCAGGUUUCUUUUUUAGUAGACUGAAAAACCCAUCUCUCUACAUUUCACUGAGGUUUGGUUUUGUUGUUUUACCCCACCUCAUUUAUUCUUUAAAAUGUAUGUCUUUUCAUGCCGUGACAUUCUAAUGCUUGCAAUCACUUUUGAGUUAUUCCGUUUUUAAUAUGAUGCAUUACGUAAUUGCUAAUUUAUAUGGAGAUGGAAUUUCCCAUUAGUUUACAUUUCUGCUCUCUCUCUUUGUUGGAUUCACAAUGUUUGCUAGCGAAUAUAAAGUUCCAGCAUCGCUUACAAAGGAUUACACAAGGCUAUUGUAUUGCAAUGCAAUUUUCGGCAAGACUCCACAUGCUGACUUGCCAAGUGUGUGCCUUUGUAAUAAAAUAGAUACAUUUGUGACUUUCUGGAAGUGUUUCAUACAUGCAUCUUAAGAUGAGAUGCUUAACAUUGUCCUUCUUCACUUUUCAGAUCCACACACAAAAAGAACUGAAUAGGCACUAGGUUACCAGAAAAUUAAGGCUCAAAUAUUCAGGCAACUUACUCUGGACCAGAUCUGUUUAUUUUUAAAGUCCUAAAACGCAAGUAAGGUAAGUUGUUGACUGCAGCCAGUUUAACAAUUAUCCCCAUUAAAUGGUAACUUGCAGACUUGGCUAUCCUUGGGACAGGGAUUUAGGAGAUCUGUUUCAGCUCCAUGGAAGCCAUUUGGUAGUUUGAGUUCAUUCAUUAGCAAUCAUCUUUAGUUCUGGUUGCAGUCUAUCUCACAUGAAAUGUGAAGUGUUGAGGAAACCAUCUUUACUAAUAAUACAUAGCACAUAGAAAAUAAGCCCAUUUUGGAGCCACAACUUGUACAUAAGACAAGUGGUAUAUCCGUUAUUUCCCAUGCAAAAUGAUAUAAGCAUCUACUCAGAAGUAAGCCCCACUGAGUUCAACAAGACUUACUCUCAAGGGAGGAAAUAUUCCAAUGUUACUCAUAAUUCCAACUCCCACACACCUGAGAGUAUUGGUCCAUCACUACCUCUGAUAUGUAUAAAGACAUUGUCUGAAUCUAAGCAACAACUAUUCACAUUUAUAGCUGCAAGAGAUCACCGAUAUUUCUUCAUGGGUGGGUGGGAGGGAAAUCAAAGAAUGUUUAAGUAGUUACUAUGAGCAUUCAAGAAGGGAGCAGAAAAGCUUGUGCUAGGCAAGGUCACAACAUAUUUAGAACAGUUCCAUUGUUUCUAAAGCAUUUCUGGCAAGGAAGAGAUAUGAAUGAUUCCUUUUUUAUAUAUAAAACACACACACACAACUUCCCUCUCCAGGCAACUUUUGAGUCAGCACUCAGCAAUCAUGAAACAAAUAAUUCAAAACUGACAUCAGAGGCAGCUUCAGAGCUUAAUGUCAGCAGAUGACAGUGAAAGGAAAGGCAGACAUCAGAGAUGGUUCUCAUCAAAUGAGUUUUUGGAUCUAUCUUGGGUUGUCUAAAUAUAGGCCUGCUGAAUUAGUCAUCUUGCUCUUUGACUUAUCUUUUAUUCUACUAUGGGAAGAAUUUAUUCUCCUUGAUAUUUUCCUGUUUUGAUUUUAGCAGCAGUUUUGGGGUGACAGGAAUAAGGUGCCAUCAUCCUGACAGCAGCAAAGUCUUUCCUGUCUGGAACAUUAAGAAGUUUCAAAACCAGUCAACUGACUCGCACCUAGAAAGUGCUACUUGAAUGUCUACAGAGCCUAGGUGAGACUUGUGUGGUUUAACCAACAGAUUUGCAUCCCAAGUUCCUUUAGCACUCUGAGCAUUGGCACCGCCAGUGGCCAUGAGCUAGAUGAACCAUACCUUCUGCACCCAACAGAUCAGCAGUGACAUCACAGCAGGC